UACGAAGGGGGCUAGCGUUGUUCGGAAUUACUGGGCGUAAAGCGCGCGUAGGCGGUUUUGCAAGCCAGAGGUGAAAUGCCUGAGCUCAACUUAGGAAUUGCCUUUGGGACUGCGAGGCUUUGAGGACUGGAGAGGUGAGUGGAAUUCCCAGAGUAGAGGUGAAAUUCGUAGAUAUUGGGAAGAACACCGGUGGCGAAGGCGGCUCGCUGGCCAGUUUCUGACGCUGCAGCGCGAAAGCGUGGGGAUCAAACAGG
rnacentral:rRNA from 1 species